rnacentral:rRNA from 1 species
GAUGAACGCUGGCGGCGUGCCUAACACAUGCAAGUCGAACGGACUUUUCAUGAAGCCUAGCGAUUGAAAAGUUAGUGGCGGACGGGUGAGUAACGCGUGGGUAACCUGCCUUGUACUGGGGGACAACAGUUGGAAACGACUGCUAAUACCGCAUAAGCGCACAGCUUCGCAUGAAGCAGUGUGAAAAACUCCGGUGGUACAAGAUGGACCCGCGUCUGAUUAGCUGGUUGGUGAGGUAACGGCCCACCAAGGCGACGAUCAGUAGCCGGCCUGAGAGGGUGAACGGCCACAUUGGGACUGAGACACGGCCCAAACUCCUACGGGAGGCAGCAGUGGGGAAUAUUGCACGAUGGGGGAAACCCUGAUGCAGCAACGCCGCGUGAGUGAAGAAGUAUUUCGGUAUGUAAAGCUCUAUCAGCAGGAAAGAAAAUGACGGUACCUGACUAAGAAGCCCCGGCUAA